rnacentral:lncRNA from 1 species
AAAAAAAAUCAUUAUUAUUUUUAAAAAUAAUCCACUCAACUUAGCCUAGUGCAAUUACUUAGGUUUAUUGAGUUGAACUGUUCAUUUCACUUCCAAAUGGGAAGAAAAUAUUCUCCUACAAAACCAAGAAUAAAAUUUAGAUGAAAUGGAACAUGGAAUAAGCAACAUCCAUAGGUUCAUUCCAGUAAAUGACAUUCCAAGGAAAACCCCAAAAGAGGUUACACUCCUUGGAUGGUAAGGGGAACUCAAAAUUGAUCCCCUACGACAUAUGUUUAAACUCAUCAUUCAUUAAUUUCUACAAAUCCCAAUUAACCUUCAAACAGUAAACAAUGAAAAUGCAUCAUGAUGACAACCCAAUUCAAGUCAACCAAAUUCACACAUGGACUUAUAUAGAAUCUACUCUAUCUAAAAAUUUAAACCAUAACAUCUCACAUAAUAAAAGGUGAAAAAAAGAAAGGAAAAAAAUAUUAAAAGAAAGACAACAACAUGCCUAAUUAGAAGUAUUGCACAGACAUACUAUUCAGAGGAAAUCCAAAAUACAUGUUAAUGCAGAUCUGAGCACAACUUUUAUCCUAGAAAUCAACCAGGCUUCAAAUAAAAAAAAGAUGAGGCACUAAGGCACAAAAACAGAAAUUCUAAUCAACAGCGCAACUAUAAAACUAUUAGGCAAUGCCAAUUUUCUAAAGUAGAAAUUGAAUGCAAAAUCUGUCUUAAAAUAAUAGAAGAAUAUUCUCAACACAGAUACAGAUACCAAACCGUUAUGUCACGGACUUAGUCGUUUCCUAAGCUCAUGCGGCACUUAGACAAGUCAAGACGCUUGAUCUUGCUAAGUCAACCUUACUCUCAAUGCUUAACUUGCUAGACUAAGAUGCUUACGACUCAAAAGCUUUAGAAGGCGUAGUAAGCAACUCUUUAAAGAAUGGAAGCUUUAUUGCUUUCAAGAAAGCUUUACAAUGCUUGGAAGCUCACUUGCUUAGUGUCUUGGCCAAAUGAGGCCCUCACCUAUUUAUAGGCACCGAUGAAACUCUCUGAAACCUUGGAGGGUUCCUUACAAUUCAAGAAUAUUUUAGAACGUCCUACAUCAUUCUAUGCACAAGAGACCUCUAGAAUUCUCUAAAAAGCUCUGGGCUCUUCUCAUGCCUCCCAUCAUAAUGUAGAGAUGUAUGGACUUCUCUAGGCAUUUCUAGAAUCUUCCACACUCUUCCCACGAAUGGCUAAGUGUAAGAGUCUCUAGAAGCUUCUUGGGCUUUAUAUAAACCCAUGGGGAGGCUCAUUUAAAGCAUCCUGUGACAGUUAGCUCUCACUAUUCAAAUCCACAAAAGCUACCUUAAGAGCCAAUCCAAGCCUCAACAAGAAAAGAAAAAAGGAAAAAAAUAACACAAUAACAAUGCGGAAUGAUUCAAUCAAUUACAAGCAAAAAUAUAAACACAAAAAAACCCUACAAACAACAAAACAAAAUCAAGAGGAGAGUCCAAGAACUCAACUUGUAGUUUAUUGAUUUGGUCCAAAAAAUAUCAUAUUCUGGAGAGGGACGGGGAAUGGAGAAAGAUUGAGCAAAGUGGAGAAAAGGCAAAGAUGGUAGGUGAUUGUGAUUGCGGUGGAAGCAGAAACCUCUGAAAAUGGUAACCGCCCCACUCUUCUCAUUUAUAUAUAGACAGAGACAGUGCAACAGGGGCUCUUUUGGAUUUUCACCUUGAUGACUGCCAAGAUUUUUCUACAUCAGAAAGGUCAAUAUUCAAUAAGCAAUAGUGAAUUUUAAUUUUAAUUGAUGGAUUUAGAGAAGAGAUUCAGUAUAUAGCUUAUUAUUUGUCUAAUCUUUAAGUGAGUGAAUCCAUAUAUGGAUAAAUUAAUUAUAAAAGAGAGUGUCAAUUCUUUUAUGUUCAAACCCGCAACAGAUCAUCCCUUUCAUCAAAUUUUUCUUUUAGGAACAGCCAACUUAAUCUUUGAUUACAUUAAACUAAGCACUGCUCAAUAUAAUCUCCUUUUGCGUAUCAAAAAAAGCAUCAUAAGUAAAAUUUGACCUUCACAGCCACUCUAUUCUGAUUCUUGGACAGUUUAAGAGAACUCAACAUCAAUUCCAUAUGUCUAAACUCAUCAUCAAUCAAUUUCUAAACAUCCAGUUCACCUUCAAAUGGGCAGACGAGUAAAAAUGCAUCCUUUGAUGAUUUAGCCACUAAAUCUACCUUUGGAGUCCAAUAGCAUCGACUUUAUUUUAGAUUUGAAACAUGAAACAUAAAUAAAUAAAACUAUAACAACGAAAUAUAACAUGCCUGCUUUCAAAUACUGAAAGAAAUAAUAUUCAGAGAAAAUCAAUAAUCCAUGUCAAUAAGGAUUUGAGCUCUGAAUAAAAAAGAUAACGCUAGUAACACCACAGAAAUAGAGGUUUUGAUCAACAACACAGCACGGAAGUAUCAAGCAUAGCCACUUUCUAAAUUGGAAAAUCAAAUCCAUGUUAAUAAGGAUUCAGCCACCAAAUCUCCCUUUGGAGUCCAAUAGCAUCAACUUUAUUUUAGAUUUGAAACAUGACACAUAAAUAAAUAAAACUGUAACAACGAAAUAUAACAUGCCUGCUUUCAAAUACUGAAAGAAACAAUAUUCAGAGAAAAUCAAUAAUCCAUGUCAAUAAGGAUUUGAGCUCUGAAUCAAAAAGAUAACGCUCGUAACAAACAGAAAUAUAGGUUUUGAUCAACAACACAGUACAGAAGUAUCAAGCAUCGCCACUUUCUAGAGUGGAAAAUCAAAUCCAGAGUCUCUUUAGAAGAAUAAUACACUAUUCGCAAACGGGCGAACAGGUUUCAAACUAUUCUCUGU